AUCAAUGAGAAUACUACUGCA
rnacentral:miRNA from 1 species